GGGGGUGAGGUUCAGUGGUAGAGAGAGCACUUGCCUUGCAUGUGUGAGGCCCUGGGUUCAAUUCCUAGCAUGACCA
rnacentral:tRNA from 1 species